rnacentral:rRNA from 1 species
UGGGGAAUAUUGGACAAUGGGCGAAAGCCUGAUCCAGCCAUGCCGCGUGUGUGAAGAAGGUCUUCGGAUUGUAAAGCACUUUAAGUUGGGAGGAAGGGCAGUAAGCGAAUACCUUGCUGUUUUGACGUUACCGACAGAAUAAGCACCGGCUAACUCUGUGCCAGCAGCCGCGGUAAUACAGAGGGUGCAAGCGUUAAUCGGAAUUACUGGGCGUAAAGCGCGCGUAGGUGGUUCGUUAAGUUGAAUGUGAAAGCCCCGGGCUCAACCUGGGAACUGCAUCCAAAACUGGCGGACUAGAGUAGGGCAGAGGGUGGUGGAAUUUCCUGUGUAGCGGUGAAAUGCGUAGAUAUAGGAAGGAACACCAGUGGCGAAGGCGACCACCUGGGCUCAUACUGACACUGAGGUGCGAAAGCGUGGGGAGCAAACAGG